rnacentral:tRNA from 1 species
GGAUCCUUAGCUCAGUUGGAUAGAGCAACCGCCUUCUAAGCGGUCGGCCACAGGUUCGAAUCCUGUAGGAUCCG